rnacentral:tRNA from 1 species
GGGGGCAUGGCGGAAUUGGUAGACGCGCUGGAUUUAGGUUCCAGUUGGAUAACACCAGUGAGAGUUCGAGUCUCUCUGUCCCCACCA